CUCAAAGUGACUACUUCACUGCAAAAAUGAUUUGAACAAUAAGUCAUAGUAACUUCUUUUUGUUAUUUACCUCCACUUAUCAUGAUUAGUUGUACAAUUACAACUUAAUUGUUUUCAGUCCUCCAACUCAGGUUUUUAAGCCACACACAUUGUAAAGUUUAAUGAACUCAAUACUGAGUUGACUGUCAGUCAACAGUCAAAAUGAAGUUCCAAUGACUGUCUUUUAAAAGCGAUUCAAUUUCAAUUGGACCCCCAUGUUAAAUUGUCACAAUCUACACAGAAAUACCAAUGCAUAAAUUCUGCUACUAAAAAACAAGUUUAUUUUUUAACUGUGUAUUGUGUGACUUUUUAAUAAUUCCUGUAAAUUAUAGUGAGGCUUGAAGUUAUGUAUAAUCGGACUGUACCAGCUCGCAAACUGCGAGCUGUCUGUCUGCUCAGCUGCAUCACAAACCAAUGGAAAUACUACACGGCGAACUAACCUAAAGCACGCGGCGGAUUAAUACGUUCUGAACAGCCGGAUCACAAACGUGACCUGGACCCCAUCACGCAGUACGUCGGCUCAGCGAACCAAGUGGCGGAUGAAUAUCGUUCACCAGCGAGACGAUGAACGCGAGUCGACUUUUGAAAACCGGCGCGACAGCUCGGAAAAGAGAGUCUGAGGGGAUCUCCUCCAGCUGCAUGCCGCCUAUCGGAGGGACGCCUUUUACGGCUACUUGUCCUGCCCCAUCCCCGCCACUGGUCGUUGUAUCGGUGGCUGAGCCAAGACUCAGACUAACCGUGACUUUGGAGCGACCCGGAUGUACCUGUGGGGAAGACCGUCUGCGGUAAAAGUGUAACCCUCAAACAGAUCACUUGAUAAUUGCCGAUGGAGGACAGUCGCACAGCAGGGCGCCCGGCUGGAAACGGGUCCGCCUGGCCGGCCGAACUUCACUGACCUCCGAACUGCUGUCCAGGGAGAUUAGCGGUCUUAUCCUUAUCAAAUGCGUGGUCCCUGCUACAAACACUUUCUGUUCCAUAGGCACGCAGACAGCAACAUUGAAAUUGUGAGCAUGACGGACCGUUUCUACUCUGGUCCGUGAUGUGAAGCAGUUACGAGGCCAGCUGGACGCAGUCGUUGAUGACCUGGUCCCAAGAGCGCCAGAGGUCUACAAAGCUACAGGCACUAAAGACAUUUUGAACUGCCUCAAAGAUGUAUGAGGUUGCUUAUUAUUUGUAAGUCCAUUUUACAUUUACUUUUAAGGUUUUUCUGUCUGAACCUUUUGUGAAUAUUCUCUUUAACUCCACAGAAUAUCUUGUUUAAAUACAGUAUAGAGGUUGUUAGAUAUCUGCAUGUUAUAAUGUAAAACUAUUCAUUCUAAUGUGAGAAUAAUUAUAAUUUUUGCAACAAGACAUGGUGUUUCUCAUAGCUAUAAAUUGUCAUUUGAAACAAUCCAUACUUUUAAGUAAAAUUAACUAGGAAAGUAAUUUUAACUCAAAUGAGCGAGUUGAAAUAAUUACUUAGACCUAGUAAACACAAUGCAUGAUCUCUGGAGCUGUGGACGCAUCCCACCGUCAGGCUGGAAUCUGGUUGGGAACCAUUGUAGCAGACUAGCUGCUCUUUAGCAUGUUGGACACACCAGCAUGACACGGUUACAGAAAAUGUAUUUCCCGCCAAAUAACACUGGUUGCUGAAGCCUGUUUUGGGAGGAGGGUGUUUUAAAACUGAAAACUGUGACCGUGAACUGAGAGAAUAAACAUGUCCCUCAAUAUGUAGAUAAGAUUGCAGUUUAGUGACACUGGAAUGUUUGGACAGGUUGUCUCCAGUGGCAGAGAGACACCUUUUACUUGAAAUACAAUAUUGUAUCGUAAAGCACAUUCCAUCUAUGCAGCUUCCUGAUCCUGAGCACUUUGUUGGUGCCAAAGUGUGACACUUGUGUUAGUGAGUCCACCUCUUCACUCUGCUGCUACUGAUGCAUCCGGCUUCGCUGUCCCGGUAACUGAGAAUACUCUUCCUUAUUAUAAAAAUUGAAUGUUUAACAAU